ACAAUAACAGAAGAUACGAAAUUAGAGUGAAAACGAAGAUAAAAUCAACUUCAUCUAUAUAUACAUUUUUGCAGUCAUUUUAUGAAAUAAAUCCUGCAGUUGGAACUUAUUUACAAUGGCUGGCACUGGCUUAUUAAAGCGAAAAUUAACUACCAAAUCAAAGCAAAUCUUAUUCAAAAGAAUAUGCUUUUAUUCCAUAGCCUAAUUAUUUUUGCCAAAAUGGUUA
rnacentral:sRNA from 1 species